ACGUAGGGGGCAAGCGUUAUCCGGAUUUACUGGGUGUAAAGGGAGCGUAGACGGUUUUGCAAGUCUGAAGUGAAAGCCCGGGGCUUAACCCCGGGACUGCUUUGGAAACUGUAGGACUAGAGUGCAGGAGAGGUAAGUGGAAUUCCUAGUGCAGCGGUGAAAUGCGUAGAUAUUAGGAGGAACACCAGUGGCGAAGGCGGCUUACUGGACUGUAACUGACGUUGAGGCUCGAAAGCGUGGGGAGCAAACAG
rnacentral:rRNA from 1 species